rnacentral:rRNA from 1 species
UUCUUAACAAAGAGCAAUUCUAUAUCUCUAUAGAAAAUUUUAUGUUAAAACUAGUAAUAAGAAGCUAGCCCUUCUCUUUAAUGCAAACUUAUAUCAGCCAGGACACCCCACUGAUUAUUAACGUCCCUAAAACCAUUGUAAUAACUAAUCAAGAAAAUAUUACCUUCUCUUACGUUAACCUAACACAAGAGCAUUUUAAGAAAGAUUAAAAGAAAAAGAAGGAACUCGGCAAAUUUUAGCCUCGCCUGUUUACCAAAAACAUCGCCUCUUGAGUAUUAAUAAGAGGUCAUGCCUGCCCAGUGACUCUGUUCAACGGCCGCGGUAUCCUAACCGUGCGAAGGUAGCGUAAUCACUUGUUCUUUAAAUGAGGACUAGUAUGAAUGGCCCCACGAAGGCUACACUGUCUCCUUUUUCUAAUCAAUGAAACUAAUCUUCUCGUGAAGAAGCGAGAAUAAUUUUAUAAGACGAGAAGACCCUAUGGAGCUUUAAACAACUGAAAUAUUUGCUUUAACUUUAUAUUCUUCCCGAGUUUUUCCCACAUUCAAGCAUUUUAAUUUCUAGUUUUAGGUUGGGGUGACCACGGAGCAAAAUUUAACCUCCAUGACGAAUAAAGCAUUUUCCUUUAAACUAAAAGCUACUACUUUAAGCAUCAACAAAUUGACUUUCAUUGACCCAAUAUUUUGAUCAACGAACCAAGUUACCCUAGGGAUAACAGCGCAAUCUACUUCGAGAGCUCAUAUCGACAAGUAGGUUUACGACCUCGAUGUUGGAUCAGGGUAUCCUAGUGGUGCAGCCGCUACUAAAGGUUCGUUUGUUCAACGAUUAAAACC